ensembl:lncRNA
UUUUUUUUUUUUUUUUUUCUUUCUGGUUGUGGUUUGGGUACUAAAGGCCAACCUCUCAGUCACUAAAGGCUGCCCCCAAGUCCUUGCCGUGUGGUCCUUUGGAGAGGCAGUUCACACAAUGGUUGUUUGCUUCUUUUUUGCUGUAGAGAAUCUAUCUUGCUGUGAAGCUCUCUUUUAAGGAAAGCCUAGAUUCUACUUUAAAUGACUCACCUAAUUAGAUCAGAUCCACUGAGGCAAAAUUCUCUUUUGAUUAUCUGAGUUUGGCACCUCAAUUAUAUCUACAAAAUUCCUUCUCAUUUGCCAUAUAAAAGAUAUUGGAUUUUGUCUCCAGUUCAAUGGAAAGUUGUUUUGGAGUUUUAAAUAGAAAAUGAUAGAAUCUGUUUGCAGUUUGUAAGAAUUACUCUGUCUGCAUUUUAAAAUAAUGGUUUGGAUAGUCAACUUUAUGGGAACUUUGUGGGAACUUUAUGGUUUAGACUCUUUAUGGUAGCUUAGACUAGGGCAAUUAUAGCAGCAAAAGGAAGUGGAUAUAUUUAAGAUAUUUAUCUGUUGAAUAGACACAAAUUGGCAAAUAAAGUGUUUUUACAAGUGACAUCCUGCCUUUUGGAUCAUGAAGCAGCAUGGGUAGAGAAGCAUACUGAAAAGAAGGACAAAAACACAGUUAUGUAUGAGACUGCAGUUGCAUACAGGGAUCUGGACUUAGGAGAGAGACCUAAAAAGGCAUACAUUCAGGAUCUGCUGGUAUGGAGAUAGUAUUUAAAACUGAGAGUAGAAAAGUCCAAGACAUUAGCAAAUGUAGAAUGAGGGGGAAAAAAAGAAUGCCUGGGUGAAGCAAUGGGGAAGUCUAAAAAUUAGAGGUUAAGUAGGGAAGGAUAACCCAUGAAAAGAAUCUGGAGAAGGGACUAAAGAAAUAAGAAGAAAACUAGGAAAGGUGGAAUCCUAAAUGCCUAGAGAAGAGGUUUUUCAGAGGAAGGCAUGUUCUUUUGUGUUGAGUUUUGCAGAGGUCUAAAUGGUCGGAGAGGUAUUUAUUAUUGUUCAGCUACAGAUUGGUCAUUGUGAUCUUAGCAAGGAGAGUUUUAGUAGUAUGCUGAGAGAAGAGAGAAUGAAAUGUGAAAAGAAGCAACUCCAAGUUAUCUGGCUACAAAAGGUAGGUAAGAAAAAAUAUGGUAAUUGGAGAGAGUUACAUGUUGUGGGACUUUUUUUAAGGUUAUUAGAAUUGCUAGAAAUUUGAAUGCUAAUUUUAAAAAAAAGGUAGCAGGAAAAAAAGUGAUAAUAUGAAGAAUCCAGCAUGAGGGGUUAUUACCAAAGAAAGGGUCCCUGAAAGAAUGGGAGAGAAUGGCAUCCACAGCACAGGUGGAGAGAUGUGUCUGAGAGAGGGAAGGGACAUUGACUGUAUAGUUAUAGGAGGAAGAAAGGUGAAGGAUGGAUCCAGACACAUUUGGCGAAUUUGGUUGUGGGGAAAUGAGGAAGUAUGUAUCUGACAGCCGUAACUUAUAGAGAGUGAGGGAUAGAAGCUAUUUGCAGAGACGGCAGAAAUUGCUAAGUGGUGCUGAGAGCCCUGUUGAAGUUGGUGAACAUGAGUGUUUAGGUCUGUCAAUUAUCUUAGUCAUAUAAUUUUUCCUCUUAAAAUCCAAACUCCUUCCCAUAAUGAUUCUCAACUGAAUGUUUUCUUCAGAAUUACAUGAAAACUUUUUCCUGAUCUUCAACUCAGACCAAAUGAUUCAAAAUGUCUGGGUAUGAGGAAUGAUAUGUCUCCUUACAACUUCCAUACAUUUUUUUCCUUUGCUUAUGAUGCACAGAAUUACUCUCUUGGCAUAACAUACAAGGCUUUUCAUGACUAUGCUGCUUUUGACGUGUGUUCAUCUUUACCUCCUACUACUUACUCUUUGUUUUGAAUUCCACAUGCGAAAUCCCAUAAUAAACUACAUAUUUCUCAUUAUUUUAUCACCCCUGACCUUGGAGAGCCAAACAGUUCACACAUCUUAAUUACUCAUAGAGAAGUCUUUUUUAUUAUUAUUAUUACUCGAAUGAAUUUACCACAUCUGUAGUUGUAUAAUCUUAACAAUCUGAUUUCACAGGAUUUCCAUCCCACUCAUAGAGAAGUCUUAAUUCUCCAUCAGUAGUUACGGAACACAGAUCAAUUCCUACAUUCUUUUCAGCAUCUCUCAGAAAAGGGCUAGGGGUCUGGCCAGCAUUGUCUAGAUGCCGUUAUUAAAAGCAGGAGUUCAGAACAUAACAAUUGUGACAGAAAAACAUUGACUCUACUGGGAGCUCUGGUGCAAGUACAAAACCAAAUUAAAAAGUCUUUUCCAUGUUUUCUGGAACCGGGGCACCAGUCAAACCAAGACAAGAGAAGAAAAUCAAGUUCCACGAAAGCCAAGAGUGCCUGCCAUCUUUAAAGGCACAAAGCACCAAGAGUCAUGGUGUUUCAGAGAUACAGAGAGGACGGAGUUUUAGAACAGAGGGAGACUAAUCAAAUGGGUCAGAUGCUGCAGACAGUCAUGUCAGAUAAGAACUGAUAAUCAUUCAUUGUCUUUGGAAAUACAGAAGCCCUUGGUGACCUUUGUAAAAAGCAGUUCUAGCGGCCACAGGGAACAAAAGCCAGAUCACAGCAGGGUGAGGAAUAAAUUGCUUAUUAGGAAGUAGAGACUGCAUGUAGCAGGAAAUUCUUUAAGACGUUUGAAAGUAAAGAAGCAGAGUAGAGGGGAGUAUGCGGUCACAGAGAAGCAUUUUCUAAAUUCAAGACUGGGGAGACUUAACUCUCCAUAUAUACAUAGACAGGUCUAUCAGUUACAGGGCAGGAUCCAGGAAAGAAAAA